GAUUAACGCUAGCUACAGGCUUAACACAUGCAAGUCGAGGGGAAACGACAUCGAAAGCUUGCUUUUGAUGGGCGUCGACCGGCGCACGGGUGAGUAACGCGUAUCCAACCUGCCCAUCACUUGGGAAUAACCUUGCGAAAGUAAGACUAAUACCCAAUGACAUCCCACGAAGACAUCUGAAUGGGAUUAAAGAUUUAUCGGUGAUGGAUGGGGAUGCGUCUGAUUAGCUUGUUGGCGGGGUAACGGCCCACCAAGGCAACGAUCAGUAGGGGUUCUGAGAGGAAGGUCCCCCACAUUGGAACUGGGACACGGGCCAAACUCCUACGGGAGGCAGCAGUGAGGAAUAUUGGUCAAUGGGCGAGAGCCUGAACCAGCCAAGUAGCGUGCAGGAUGACGGCCCUAUGGGUUGUAAACUGCUUUUAUAAGGGAAUAAAGUGGGUCUCGUGAGACUUUUUGCAUGUACCUUAUGAAUAAGGACCGGCUAAUUCCGUG
rnacentral:rRNA from 1 species